GCCUGAGACGAAGUGGCGCCGGUGGCGACGACCGGCUGGAUGGGCUGGAUGAUGUCGUUCUCGACAUAAUUGGCAAAGAUGCUGACGAAGACAUCACGGCGGUGCCGGGUGCCUUCAUAUCAGUGCAAGAAUGCAGCAAUGAUCGCCGCUUGCUGGAGGUGCAGAAGCAAUCGGCAUCGCCACCAAUGACGGCACCCACCGACCCUGCAAAAUUUCCGAUUAAUUUUGGCAAAAAACGCAGCCUGAUGCCAGACACGGAUGCCGAGUCGCUCCAUCCGUCCCCAACAACAGCCGCAGACCGGUGGAGGCGAGCGCACCCGCCCCGCGCGGGAGGUAACUGCCACGCCGGCUGGUCCCAGCCAGGAGGAGAGAGCGAGUCUCCGCACUCGCAACCACGCUCUUUUGGCUAUCCCAGACUCGGACCGAACAGACGAGGAAAGGGCGCGAGUGCGGACCAUAAACGAGAGCCGUUUGCUGGAAAUUUUGGUACAACGCCUCGAGGCCGGCGGAGACAUGCCCAGUGCGGCAUUUUUGGACCUUGUCAUGGGCUCAUCAAAAUUAUCAUUUUAAAUUCCGCUGUCACGCUCCUGGCUUGGUUUUGUGGGGCUGGCAUUUACCUUCCGCGCGUCACGUGUCAGUUGCCCACCACUGGUCUGGUUCUGUUGUUGGUUGUGGUAAUGGAGCGACUUUGCAUCGGUGGCUGGUAAAUCACGCUCUUAACGUUAUUGAAGUAUUUUUGGCAUGUCAUGUCUUGUCUCUUUUGAAAAUACUGGGCUUUGCGACAUUUGUUGGUAGUAAUGGAAUGUGAGAACAUUUGUUAGUGCGUUGAAUAUUUUUGCCAAUGAAAUGCAAUAAAAAAGCAUGUACUGCUUGAGUUACUGCCCUCU